rnacentral:rRNA from 1 species
UAGGGAAUCUUCCACAAUGGACGCAAGUCUGAUGGAGCAACGCCGCGUGAGUGAAGAAGGUCUUCGGAUCGUAAAACUCUGUUAUUAGAGAAGAACACGAGUGAGAGUAACUGUUCAUUCGAUGACGGUAUCUAACCAGCAAGUCACGGCUAACUACGUGCCAG